rnacentral:rRNA from 1 species
UACGUAGGUGGCGAGCGUUGUCCGGAUUUACUGGGCGUAAAGGGAGCGUAGGCGGACUUUUAAGUGAGAUGUGAAAUACCCGGGCUUAACUUGGGUGCUGCAUUUCAAACUGGAAGUCUAGAGUGCAGGAGAGGAGAAUGGAAUUCCUAGUGUAGCGGUGAAAUGCGUAGAGAUUAGGAAGAACACCGGCGGCGAAGGCGGCUUGCUGGACGGCAACUGACGUUGAGGCUCGAAAGCGUGGGGAGCAAACAGGAUUAGAUACCCGGGUAGUCCCUGA